CCCUUAGAUGUUCUGGGCUGCACGCGCGCUACACUGAUGCGCUCAACGAGUUUACGAACUUGCCCGGAAGGGUUGGUUAAUCUUUUUAAAACGCAUCGUGAUGGGGAUAGAUUAUUGCAAUUAUUAAUCUUCAACGAGGAAUUCCUAGUAAUCGUAGGUCAUCAGCCUGCGAUGAUUACGUCCCUGCCCUUUGUACACACCGCCCGUCGCUCCUACCGAUUUCGAGUGGUUCGGUGAACCUUUCGGACCGGCAAUGCCUCGUGUUGCGCCGGAAAGUCAAGUAAACCAUAUCACUUAGAGGAAGGAGAAGUCGUAACA
rnacentral:rRNA from 1 species